GACGAACGCUGGCGGCGUGCUUAACACAUGCAAGUCGAACGGAAAGGCCCUGCUUUUGUGGGGUGCUCGAGUGGCGAACGGGUGAGUAACACGUGAGUAACCUGCCCUUGACUUUGGGAUAACUUCAGGAAACUGGGGCUAAUACCGGAUAGGAGCUCCUGCUGCAUGGUGGGGGUUGGAAAGUUUCGGCGGUUGGGGAUGGACUCGCGGCUUAUCAGCUUGUUGGUGGGGUAGUGGCUUACCAAGGCUUUGACGGGUAGCCGGCCUGAGAGGGUGACCGGCCACAUUGGGACUGAGAUACGGCCCAGACUCCUACGGGAGGCAGCAGUGGGGAAUAUUGCACAAUGGGCGGAAGCCUGAUGCAGCAACGCCGCGUGCGGGAUGACGGCCUUCGGGCUGUAAACCGCUUUCGCCUGUGACGAAGCGUGAGUGACGGUAAUGGGUAAAGAAGCACCAGCUAACUACGUG
rnacentral:rRNA from 1 species